CCCUUAGAUGUCCUGGGCUGCACGCGCGCUACACUGGAAGUUACGGAUUGAGAUACUACCUUGUCCGAAAUGGUCCGGGUAAUCACCUAAAAGCUUGUCAUAAUUGGAAUGGAUUAUUGUAACUAGUAAUCCUGAACGAGGAAUUCCUAGUAAGUCCCAGUCAACAGCUGGUACUGAUUACGUCCCUGCCCUUUGUACACACCGCCCGUCGCUACUACUGAUUGGACGUUUAAGCAAGAUUUUUAAACACUGACAGUGUGUAGUUCACGCCAUACUACAGUGAGAAGAAGAAGAUCGAGCUUACUUGUCUAGAGGAAGUAAAAGUCGUAACA
rnacentral:rRNA from 1 species